rnacentral:rRNA from 2 species
AGACCGAUAGCGAACAAGUACUGUGAAGGAAAGAUGAAAAGCACUUUGAAAAGAGAGUGAAAAAGUACGUGAAAUUGUUAAAAGGGAAGGGUAUUGAAUCAGACUUGGUGCUGUUGUUCAACUGUGUUUCGGCAUAGUGUACUCAGCAGUACUAGGCCAAGGUGGGGUGUUUGGGAGUGAAAAAGAAGUUGGAAGGUAACUCUUCGGAGUGUUAUAGCCUACUUUCAUAGCUCCUCAGGCGCCUCAGGACUGCGCUUCGGCAAGGACCUUGGCAUAAUGAUUCUAUACCGCCCGUCUUGAAACACGGACCAAG